rnacentral:RNase_P_RNA from 2 species
CAAGUAUGAAAGACGAUUGCGAGCUAUUAUAGUUCGAGGAAAGUCCGAGCUCCAUAGGGCAGGAUGCCAGAUAACGUCUGGCGAGGGUAACCUUAGGGAAAGUGCCAUAGAAAAGAAGACCGCCAUAAAUAUAUGGUAAGGGUGGAACGGUGCGGUAAGAGCGCACCAGCAACUUGGUAACAAGUUUGGCUUGGUAAACCCCAUCUGGAGCAAGGCCUAAUAGAAAAGGGUUGAGGUGGCCCGCCGACCUUUCGGGUUGUGCCGCUUGAACGUAUGGGUGACCAUACGUCUAGAAAGAUAAUCGUCACUGUGUAAACAGAACAGAACUCGGCUUAUUGAUUGCUUGCCAU